UCCGGCUUAUCACCGGCAGUUUUCUCAGAGUUCUCGCCAUUACGCGUUAGCAACAGAGAAUGAGGGUUGCGCUCGUUGCGGGACUUAACCCAACAUCUCACGACACGAGCUGACGACAGCUAUGCAGCACCUGUGUUCCAGCCAGCCGAACUGAAGAAAGCCAUCUCUGGCGAUCAUACUGGACAUGUCAAACGUGGGUAAGGUUCUUCGCGUUGCUUCGAAUUAAACCACAUGCUCCACCGCUUGUGCGGGCCCCCGUCAAUUUCUUUGAGUUUCAGCCUUGCGACUGUACUCCCCAGGCGGCAUAUUUAACGCGUUAGCUCCGGCACGGACAGAAUGAACUGCCCACACCAAAUAUGCAUCGUUUAGGGCGGGGACUAC
rnacentral:misc_RNA from 1 species